UGGGGAAUAUUGCACAAUGGAGGGAACUCUGAUGCAGCGACGCCGCGUGAGUGAUGAAGGAAUUCGUUUCGUAAAACUCUGUUCUAUGGGAAGAAAAGGACUGUACCAUAGGAGAAAGCUCCGGCUAAAUACGUGCCAGCAGCCGCGGUAAUACGUAUGGAGCGAGCGUUGUCCGGAAUUAUUGGGCGUAAAGGGUGCGCAGGCGGCUUUACAAGUUGGAUGUGAAAUAUUGUGGCUCAACCACAAACGUGCAUCCAAAACUGCAAAGCUUGAGUUGAGGAGAGGUAAGUGGAAUUCCUGGUGUAGCGGUGGAAUGCGUAGAUAUCAGGAGGAAUACUGGUGGCGAAGGCGACUUACUGGACUUAAACUGACGCUCAGGCACGAAAGCGUGGGGAGCAAACAGG
rnacentral:rRNA from 1 species